UACAGAGGUCCCAAGCGUUGUUCGGAUUCACUGGGCGUAAAGGGUGCGUAGGCGGUCGGGUAAGUCUGAUGUGAAAUCUCCGAGCCUAACUCGGAAACUGCAUUGGAUACUAUUCGGCUUGAGAGUUGGAGGGGGGACUGGAAUUCUCGGUGUAGCAGUGAAAUGCGUAGAUAUGUGGAGGAAUACCGAUGGCGAAGGCAGCCCCCUGGGCCAAUACUGACGCUCAUGCACGAAAGCGUGGGGAGCAAACAGG
rnacentral:rRNA from 1 species